UACGGGGGGGGUAAGCGUUGUUCGGAAUUACUGGGCGUAAAGGGCUCGUAGGCGGCCAACUAAGUCAUACGUGAAAUCCCUCAGCUUAACUGGGGAACUGCGUGUGAUACUGGAUGGCUUGAAUUCGGGAGAGGGAUGCAGAAUUCCAGGUGUAGCGGUGAAAUGCGUAGAUAUCUGGAGGAACACCGGUGGCGAAGGCGGCGUUCUGGACUGCAACUGACACUGAGAGACGAAAGCCAGGGGAGCAAACGGG
rnacentral:rRNA from 1 species